GAGUUUGAUUCUGGCUCAGGAUGAACGCGGCGGCGUGCCUAAUACACGCAAGUCGAACGAGGUGCUUUUGUAGCAAUACGAGAGUAUCUAGUGGCGAACGGGUGAGUAACGCGUUGGUGACCUGCCCCAAAGUGUGGGAUAACAGUCGAAAGGAUUGCUAAUACCGCAUGUGGUCAUUGGAUUUAGAAACCGAUGACUAAAGGAGAAUCCGCUUUGGGAGGGGCCUGCGUCCCAUCAGCUAGUUGGUAGGGUAACGGCCUACCAGGCUACGACGGGUAGGGGACCUGAGAGGGUGGCCCCCCACAAUGGAACUGAAACACGGUCAUACACCUACGGGUGGCAGCAGUAGGGAAUAUUGCACAAUGGGCGAAAGCCUGAUGCACAACGCCGCGUGCGCGAUGAAGGUCUUCGGAUCGUAAAGCGCUUUUCUGCGAGAUGAGAAGGACAGUAUCGUAGGAAUAAGUCUCGGCUAACUACGUGCCAGCAGCCGCGGUAAU
rnacentral:rRNA from 1 species